rnacentral:rRNA from 1 species
UUCCGGUUGAUCCUGCCGGAGGCCAUUGCUAUCGGAGUUCGAUUUAGCCAUGCUAGUCGCACGAGUUCAUACUCGUGGCAGAUAGCUCAGUGACACGUGGCCAAACUACCCUAUGGACAGGCAUAACCUCGGGAAACUGAGGCCAAUACCUGAUACCGCUUCCCUCCUGGAAUGGGAGAAGCACCAAACGUUACGGCGCCAUAGGAUGUGGCUGCGGCCGAUUAGGUAGACGGUGAGGUAACGGCUCACCGUGCCCAUAAUCGGUACGGGUUGUGAGAGCAAGAGCCCGGAGACGGUAUCUGAGACAAGAUACCGGGCCCUACGGGGCGCAGCAGGCGCGAAAACUUUACACUGCACGACAGUGCGAUAAGGGAACUCCGAGUGCGAGGGCAUAUCGUCCUCGCUUUUCUGUACCGUAGGAAGGUACAAGAAUAAGGGCUGGGCAAGACCGGUGCCAGCCGCCGCGGUAACACCGGCAGCCCAAGUGAUGGCCGAUAUUAUUGGGCCUAAAGCGUCCGUAGCCAGCUGAACAGGUCCGUUGGGAAAUCUGCUCGCUCAACGAGCAGGCGUCCGGCGGAAACCAGUCAGCUUGGGACCGAGAGGACCGAAGGGUACGUCCGGGGUAGGAGUGAAAUCCCGUAAUCCUGGACGGACCACCGAUGGCGAAAGCACUUCGGUAGAUCGGAUCCGACGGUGAGGGACGAAAGCUAGGGUCACGAACCGGAUUAGAUACCCGGGUAGUCCUAGCCGUAAACGAUGCUCGUUAGGUGUGGCACUGGCUACGAGCCAGUGCCGUGCCGCAGUGAAGACGAUAAACGAGCCGCCUGGGAAGUACGUCCGCAAGGAUGAAACUUAAAGGAAUUGGCGGGGGAGCAC